UUACGACCAUACCAUACUGAAAGACCAAUUCUCGUACGAUCACCGAAGUAAAGCAACAUUCGAGCCUGGUCAGUAUCUAGAUAGGUGACCGCUUAGGAAUACCAGGAGCUGUAAG